UGCUGACGAUGUCGUUGAUGAUGAUUAUGAAGAUGAUGAUGGUGAUGAUGGUGAUCAUCAUCAUUAUCAUCACCAUUAGCAUAAUUA
rnacentral:pre_miRNA from 1 species